AUUGAACGCUGGCGGCAUGCCUUACACAUGCAAGUCGAACGGCAGCACGGGAGCAAUCCUGGUGGCGAGUGGCGAACGGGUGAGUAAUGUAUCGGAACGUGCCCAGUCGUGGGGGAUAACGUAGCGAAAGCUACGCUAAAACCGCAUACGAUCUGUGGAUGAAAGCGGGGGACCGUAAGGCCUCGCGCGAUUGGAGCGGCCGAUAUCAGAUUAGGUAGUUGGUGGGGUAAAGGCCUACCAAGCCGACGAUCUGUAGCUGGUCUGAGAGGACGACCAGCCACACUGGGACUGAGACACGGCCCAGACUCCUACGGGAGGCAGCAGUGGGGAAUUUUGGACAAUGGGCGCAAGCCUGAUCCAGCAAUGCCGCGUGCAGGAUGAAGGCCUUCGGGUUGUAAACUGCUUUUGUACGGAGCGAAAAGGCUCUCUCUAAUACAGGGGACUCAUGACGGUACCGUAAGAAUAAGCACCGGCUAACUACGUGCCAGCCGCCGCAGUAA
rnacentral:rRNA from 1 species